ACUCCAUAAGCCUUGCAUCAGGGGUCCUGCAUGCUGCUUAAGUGCUAAAACAAAUAAAACCUUGAAGCUCCCAUCCUGAAUAGAUUUUCAAUUUCUUUUAUUACAAAAAGCAAUAAAAUAGAUUUCUUAAUACGUCCCCAGAUCAGAGAGUCAGGUCUGACUGAAGGACCGGAACCAUAGCAUCUAUGGUUGUCAGUCACCAGCAGCUGGGAGAACUCUCUGGCAAAGAUGCAGACAUGGGCAAUCAGGCUAUUGACCUCCAUGUGACUCCAUCUUCUUGUACAAGCUAUUUCUCAAAUCUUCACACAAAGGAAGAGCCUCUCACAGUUAUGAUUUUAACUCCCACAGUGCCCGCAAACUAUUUACGAACAUUCCACCACACUGCUGACCUGACCUCAAAGACUCCCAUGUACACAGGAGCAUCUGCCCUCCGUGUAACAGAACAAGGACAGCCGUAAAGCCACGGCCCCGAAGCACCACGAUGGAGGGAAGGAAUCCAGAUGGAAGACUGGGUUUGGCUCUUCUUAUGCCAUAGCUAUACUCUGAGCAUAAAGCUAGGAAAAGUUCCUGGAGCCUUCUCAAGCAAUUCAGGUCACAAAUGGAGAGAUAUCCUUUCUCUUGCUUCCCUCUUCCAGGUGUGUAUAGGAAGACCCUGUCUGGACCCUGCUUUGCACUCCACAUUCGGCAUGAUUUGCUCCAGGGUUACAACGUGCAAGAUCUGGUAGGACGGGAGGUCUGUGCACCGUAGACAGUGCCUCAAAGCCCAUGUUCCAGCUUAAGCAUAUGACUACCAUGUGGAGGCCUUUCCCCAGCCACAUUCAGAGACUCCCAGGCCCCAUCCCAUUAGAAGGCCCAGGUUCCAUCUGUCAUAUUCUUUGCAUCUCUUUUUCUUUGUAGUUCUGCGUGACUUUUUCUUUCUCUAUAAAAGAUCUCCUUUUCUGUUUCCCCCUUAUUUGUCUCCUUUAGUUGGCAAUUACCAUUUGAGGCUAUUUUUUUGAAUAGAGUUCUAUGUUCCAAAUGCUUCAUUUAAAUAUAACGGGGGCAGUUUUGACUCUAGUGUAACUUGCAGAAUAUUUUUUCCACUGAAAACAAGUAUGUGCUUCUGGUUGUGAAGUUCUGUGAUCUCGGGUGUAGUGACUUUAGUUUUGGAGCUGGGAGCAAUCUUUUUCAGUGGUUGGGGCCUGAUCCCAUCACUGCCACUCCUGCUACUGUAAUGCUGCUUUUCUUAGGUGACAGGUGUGAGUUGUUCCAUUCCACUGGGGUUGUAUCAGUGAGAGUCCCAGCAGGAGACAGAUGGCAUACUUGAAAUAGGUUAAUUCAAUCAGGGUUUAUUUUCAAAGGUUCUAUUUAAAAAGAUCUGGUCUAGGGAACCACAGGGAGUGGUAUAGUAACCUGGCACUAGCAGAAGCGGGGGUGUUACUACCCUCAGGUCUGAAGAACUUGGAGAGAGUGGUGUAG
rnacentral:lncRNA from 1 species